UUUGUGCAAUGUAUUAUGUUGUUUUGCGGCCAUUUAUCAGUGCAGCAGCAGCACAUGUAUGCUUGACCUGGACCACACUGGAGGUCUUUGGUGCAGAGGAAUAAGCUAUACUGGAGUGGCUACAAGGGCAAUAAACAGUACGGUAUGUUAGUAGAUGAGUUCAUAGUUGGUAAAAAAUCUGAAAAAGGAUAGAUUAUCGCCAGCCUUUUCCUCUUAAGGGUCCUUGUUCAGAAGUUUCUCGUGGUUUAAGAGCACUUAUUAUUUCUUGUUUUAAACUAAUAAGUAAUAUCAACAAUUCUAACUUUAGUAUUAACACUGCUUGAGAACAUUUAGCCCCCAGGCAAUUUCAUAUCCUUAUUCUAACCACUUAGAAAUUUCAGUAGAUAGAUGCUGGUUGCACUUCUGUGCAUCACAUGAUUUUCACUUGUAUAAAAGCCAAAAACACAUUUGUGUUCCUCUCUUCCUUGUGUUUUCGCCAAUGAAACUAUGUGAAUGCAAUUUCUGGCAGCCUUAUGCAACUUCAUUGCAAAAUCAGCAAUUAUCUCAACCUAUGAUCACCAUCUCAGGCAGUUUUUUUGGUUUCCUUCCCUGCAUCUGAUACCAGUUAUCAUAGAAAUGGGAGAGGAUAUUUUCAGGAAACGGGAUUUCUACUCUGCUUGAUAAUGGAACAUGCCACAGCUAUCUGCCAAAGUAAAUAAUUAAUCUUGGUUCUCUCACACGAAGAUAUCAGCGUUAAUCAUUGACUUUCUGGGUGGAAAAAACAAUGGCAUUAAGCGUAUAAGUUAUAUGAUUUGAAAGUUUAUUUUGGAAAU